GGCAGAGGGUGUGACAUCUCUGAGGUGCCAUUAUUAAGAACUGCAGGAUGGGCCUUUGCCACCCCUAGAGACUGCUUUGAAAACUAGAAUUCCACCACUUGAAAUCCAGAAUCCCAUCAUUGGAAAUCCACUCCCUUGGGUUCCUCUUUUAAAUGCAGACUGUACUGGUGCUGUUCCAGCCUCCCCAGCUACAAUAGGAAGGGCACGCAACUCUGUGAAGCGAGUAUUGGCCAAUACUGCCCCCUUGUGGUCAAGCUUGUCCUUACUGGAGGCUUUCAGCCCAAGAGUUUUUCGAGAUUCCUGCUCCUGGGCAUUUGCAGAAUUAUCAGAAGGUUAUCUCAGAAAAGCUGAACCCACAAGACCCUUGGGAGGGGUUCCAGCUGCAGAGAAUGCCUGGUGACAACCCAAAUCCGCAAAAGUGGCCUUGUGGAGGUCUGCGUUCCAGGGAGGAGGUUAAGGUGACUAGAGGCAUCUGGCUAGAUCGAAGUCUCCAGAGGGGAGCCAAGCCCACGGGAAAGGAUUAAGUGCCUCUGGCUGUACUUGAGGGGCUGUCAUUUCAGACCUGUGUUUAGAUUUUUACAAGAUUCCAUGUAAGACCUGAGCUUGGCAAAUUCUGAAAGAGCUCAGCUUGUGUUUCUUCUCUGCUGGACCCUGUCUGGCUCUAUCCCCUCGGACAGCUUGGGCUGCUCCUUCCCCGAGCUCACCCACCUGCUCCGAGCCUUGGAGGAAUGUCCCUGCCAAGAAACGGAGCUGCCGCUGGAGCUGCUGUCCUGAGAGGGGUCCGUCCACUGAGUCACUCCACGUUGUGGGGGCUGAUGGUGGCUCGACGAGUCACUCUUCCCAGGCAUAUUUGCCUGGGACGAGUAUGAAGGCCUCUCCUCCCAAAUGAUGGAAUUUUAAGCGCAGAAGCAGAAUAAUGGGAGAGAUGGCUGGGAGUUUGGAAAAGCUUCCCACAACCCCUCAUUGCGCCCCAGGCGAGGAACACCCCAUCAGCUUAAAAUCCAAGUGCUUGAGGUGAGACCAUCCUUAAAAACCCACAUGUGGGCCAUGGCUAAGCUGUCCAUCCGCCUUUGCUGGUUAAGAGGCUGCUUUCAUCAUGCGCAGGAUCAAAACUGGUUCACUCUGGCAGGGACUGGGCCAGCACCCACGUCUUGCCUGCAGUUCAGAGGCAGUUUUGACGUGGUUUUGCUUUCAGGUGUCACCUUAGAGCAGAGUUUCUCAGAAAGCCAGUUCUAAGGGAGGCACCUGAAGAGCAAGUUUCCAUGACUCCGUAAGUCUGGGCAGCAGUGCACCGCAUGCCUCCUGCUAGAAAGCCCCAUUCACACCAGCACGUGAAAGGCCUGGAAAGUCUAGCCCCGAGGAGCCCGCGUACUGC